GCGGACGUGGCGGAACUGGCAGACGCACAGGAUUUAGGUUCCUGCGCCGCAAGGCGUGCGGGUUCGACUCCCGCCGUCCGCA
rnacentral:tRNA from 1 species